rnacentral:rRNA from 1 species
GAUUGAACGCUGGCGGUAUGCUUAACACAUGCAAGUCGAACGGAAACGAUACUAGCUUGCUAGUAGGCGUCGAGUGGCGGACGGGUGAGUAACGCGUAGGAAUCUGCCUGAUAGUGGGGGAUAGCCCGAAGAAAUUCGGAUUAAUACCGCAUAAUCUAUUCGUAGUAAAGUGGGGGACUUUCGAGCCUCACGCUAUCAGAUGAGCCUGCGUAAGAUUAGCUAGUUGGUAGAGUAAAAGCCUACCAAGGCAACGAUCUUUAGCUGGUCUGAGAGGAUGAUCAGCCACAUCGGGACUGAGACACGGCCCGAACUCCUACGGGAGGCAGCAGUGGGGAAUAUUGGACAAUGGGGGCAACCCUGAUCCAGCAAUACCGCGUGUGUGAAGAAGGCCUGAGGGUUGUAAAGCACUUUCAAUUGUGAAGAAAAGUUAACGGUUAAUAACCGUUAGCCUUGACGUUAACUUUAGAAGAAGCACCGGCUAACUCCGUGCCAGCAGCCGCGGUAAUACGGAGGGUGCAAGCGUUAAUCGGAAUUACUGGGCGUAAAGCGUGCGUAGGCGGUUUAUUAAGUCAGAUGUGAAAGCCCCGGGCUUAACCUGGGAACUGCAUUUGAAACUGGUCAACUAGAGUAUGGUAGAGGAAAGUGGAAUUUCUGGUGUAGCGGUGAAAUGCGUAGAUAUCAGAAGGAACAUCAAUGGCGAAGGCAGCUUUCUGGACCAAUACUGACGCUGAGGUACGAAAGCGUGGGUAGCAAACAGGAUUAGAUACCCUGGUAGUCCACGCCGUAAACGAUGAUAACUAGCCGUUGGGGGGGAUUUACCCUUUAGUGGCGAAGCUAACGCGUUAAGUUAUCCGCCUGGGGAGUACGGCCGCAAGGUUAAAACUCAAAGGAAUUGACGGGGACCCGCACAAGCGGUGGAGCAUGUGGUUUAAUUCGAUGCAACGCGAAGAACCUUACCUGGUCUUGACAUCCUGCGAACUUUCUAGAAAUAGAUUGGUGCCUUCGGGAACGCAGUGACAGGUGCUGCAUGGCUGUCGUCAGCUCGUGUCGUGAGAUGUUGGGUUAAGUCCCGUAACGAGCGCAACCCCUAUCCUUAUUUGCCAGCACGUCAUGGUGGGAACUAUAAGGAGACUGCCGGUGAUAAACCGGAGGAAGGCGGGGACGACGUCAAGUCAUCAUGGCCCUUACGACCAGGGCUACACACGUGCUACAAUGGGAAGGACAAAGAGCCGCGAAGCCGCGAGGUGUAGCUAAUCUCAGAAACCUUUUCGUAGUCCGGAUUGGAGUCUGCAACUCGACUCCAUGAAGUCGGAAUCGCUAGUAAUCGUAGAUCAGAAUGCUACGGUGAAUACGUUCCCGGGUCUUGUACACACCGCC